rnacentral:rRNA from 1 species
GCGGCUAGACGGAAAGACCCCGUGAACCUUUACUAUAGCUUGACACUGAACAUUGAAUUUUGAUGUGUAGGAUAGGUGGGAGCCUUUGAAGCAGUGACGCCAGUCAUUGUGGAGACGACCUUGAAAUACCACCCUUUAACGUUUGAUGUUCUAACGAAGUGCCUGAAACGGGUACUCGGACAGUGUCUGGUGGGUAGUUUGACUGGGGCGGUCUCCUCCCAAAGCGUAACGGAGGAGCACGAAGGUUUGCUAAUGACGGUCGGACAUCGUCAGGUUAGUGCAAUGGUAUAAGCAAGCUUAACUGCGAGACAGACAAGUCGAGCAGGUGCGAAAGCAGGUCAUAGUGAUCCGGUGGUUCUGAAUGGAAGGGCCAUCGCUCAACGGAUAAAAGGUACUCCGGGGAUAACAGGCUGAUACCGCCCAAGAGUUCAUAUCGACGGCGGUGUUUGGCACCUCGAUGUCGGCUCAUCACAUCCUGGGGCUGAAGUAGGUCCCAAGGGUAUGGCUGUUCGCCAUUUAAAGUGGUACGCGAGCUGGGUUUAGAACGUCGUGAGACAGUUCGGUCCCUAUCUGCCGUGGGCGUUGGAUGAUUGAUUGGGGCUGCUCCUAGUACGAGAGGACCGGAGUGGACGCAUCACUGGUGUUCCAGUUGUCUCGCCAGAGGCAUUGCUGGGUAGCUAAAUGCGGAAGAGAUAAGUGCUGAAAGCAUCUAAGCACGAAACUUGCCAAGAGAUGAGUCAUCCCUGACUUUAAGUCAGUAAGGGUUGUUGUAGACUACGACGUAGAUAGGUUGGGUGUGUAAGUGUAGUGAUACAUUGAGCUAACCAAUA